CAGCGCUCACCGGCUGUCCAGGGAACAAGGGCUGGCACUGGCUCGAGCCAGGCAGAGAGGCCACCAAUGCCCGCGACCACCAGUGUCCGGAGGAGAGGAAGCCCUCAGGGAGCUGAGACAGUGGGCAGACUCCACCCAACCCCGAGCCCGGUGCCCCCCACCUGGCUACACUGCCCUCUUGGAAGCCGUCCUCCCCCACCCCUGCCCGAUGGUGGGUGUCCUGACUUCUGGGGGCGAGUCCUGCAGACCCCUGGUAGGGCUUUGCACUGUGCCAGCC
rnacentral:lncRNA from 1 species